UACGUAGGGUGCAGGCGUUAAUCGGAAUUACUGGGCGUAAAGCGUGCGUAGGCGGUUUGUUAAGACAGAUGUGAAAUCCCCGGGCUCAACCUGGGAACUGCAUUUGUGACUGUAGAGCUGGAGUACGGCAGAGGGGGAUGGAAUUCCGCGUGUAGCAGUGAAAUGCGUAGAUAUGCGGAGGAACACCGAUGGCGAAGGCAAUCCCCUGGGCCUGUACUGACGCUCAUGCACGAAAGCGUGGGGAGCAAACAGG
rnacentral:rRNA from 1 species